UAAAAGGCUUUUUCCUCCUCCAAACGAAAGGAGGCGCCGCUUCUACUAUCAAAACCCUACCGACGAAAUCGAUCUUUUGUCCAGCCAGAAAAUCCACACGACCAGCAAAUCGCCUCCGUCGGCGACACAAUACCGACCGUCUCUACGCUUAGCAACGACGAUACAAAGAUUUGGAGCUAAAAUACUCCUGUUUUCCACUCAACAACCAUAAAAAUUAUCUACUCCAUCUCGGCGCAAUUCCUUCCAUUAGACGACGAAUUGGCCGGACGCAAAACAGAUCUAUACAGCCUAAUCGAAGACGGAAUGAUUGAAACCCUAACCUCAGCAAAUCGGUUUAGAUGCUACUCAAAUUGUUUGAUUCCGGUUUCGAUUACAGGAUUAACAUUGACAACCAAUGGAAUAGCCAUAAAGAGGAAGGAUAAAUAGCUAUAACAGAAAACUAAUCAAAUAACUCAAAGAGGUACCUAAAUGAUGGAAGAAAACAUAUCAGGAAGAAUAUCUACAAGAUGGCUAUGGAGGAGGCAGACAUAUUUGAUUUAAGGAAGACCUCCAAAGACACGAACACAACAGACUUUUAUGAUAGAGUUUAUAAUGGCAGUGUGAAGAUUCUGCACCAAGGUUCAAAAGAUUCCAAAAAGGGGAGGAGAAGGAAAGAAGAAGACAAUACUUCCAAAGAGGCCAGUUAAAAUAAACUUAACCUAAGAUACAAUUUCAAAAUACUGAUGAUUCCACAUUAGGAGCUGUUCAACAAAAAUGAAAAAUGACAUCUAAGAAGUGCUGGAGAGAAGAAAGCUUCCAAACGGGUCAGCUAAACAAUACUAUACUGCAUCUACUUCAAAAGUGUUUAAACAAAUAGUAUAAGCAUAUAAGUUACACUAAAUGUUGGUUUCUGGAUUACAAGAGAUAAGAGCCGGGCGUAAUACAACCCAAAAGAAGGAAUACAAAAGAGGAAACUGAACUAGAAUGAGAUUACAAAUGUAAAAACGAAACAGUAACCGUGA